rnacentral:rRNA from 1 species
UACGGAGGGCGCAAGCGUUGUUCGGAAUCAUUGGGCGUAAAGAGCGUGUAGGCGGUUUGGUAAGUCGGGUGUGAAAGCCCGGGGCCUAACCCCGGAGGGUCAUUCGAAACUGCCAAGCUAGAGUCCCGGAGAGGGUGGCGGAAUUACCAGUGUAGAGGUGAAAUUCGUAGAUAUUGGGAAGAACACCGGCGGCGAAGGCGGCCACCUGGACGGUGACUGACGCUGAGACGCGAAAGCGUGGGGAGCAAACAGG